GAUGAACGCUAGCGGCAGGCCUAAUACAUGCAAGUCGGACGGGAUUGAGGAGCUUGCUCUUCAUGAGAGUGGCGCACGGGUGCGUAACACGUAUGUAACCUACCUUGUUCAGGGGGAUAGCCUCUCGAAAGAGAGAUUAAGACCGCAUAACAUUAAGCUGUGGCAUCACAGGUUAAUCAAAUAUUUAUAGGAACAAGAUG
rnacentral:rRNA from 1 species